UUGAACGCUGGCGGCAGGCCUAACACCUGCAAGUCGAGCGGAUGAAGGGAGCUUGCUCCUGGAUUCAGCGGCGGACGGGUGAGUAAUGCCUAGGAAUCUGCCUGGUAGUGGGGGAUAACGUCCGGAAACGGGCGCUAAUACCGCAUACGUCCUGAGGGAGAAAGUGGGGGAUCUUCGGACCUCACGCUAUCAGAUGAGCCUAGGUCGGAUUAGCUAGUUGGUGGGGUAAAGGCCUACCAAGGCGACGAUCCGUAACUGGUCUGAGAGGAUGAUCAGUCACACUGGAACUGAGACACGGUCCAGACUCCUACGGGAGGCAGCAGUGGGGAAUAUUGGACAAUGGGCGAAAGCCUGAUCCAGCCAUGCCGCGUGUGUGAAGAAGGUCUUCGGAUUGUAAAGCACUUUAAGUUGGGAGGAAGGGCAGUAAGUUAAUACCUUGCUGCUUUGACGUUACCAACAGAAUAAGCACCGGCUAACUUCGUG
rnacentral:rRNA from 1 species